rnacentral:rRNA from 1 species
AGUACGGGAGGCAGCAGUGGAGAAUAUUGCACAAUGGGCGCAAGCCUGAUGCAGCCAUGCCGCGUGUAUGAAGAAGGCCUUCGGGUUGUAAAGUACUUUCAGCGGGGAGGAAGGUGUUGUGGUUAAUAACCACAGCAAUUGACGUUACCCGCAGAAGAAGCACCGGCUAACUCUGUGCCAGCAGCCGCGGUAAU